rnacentral:rRNA from 1 species
GAGUUUGAUCAUGGCUCAGAGUGAACGCUGGCGGCAGGCCUAACACAUGCAAGUCGAGCGGCAGCGCGGGGGCGACCCUGGCGGCGAGCGGCGGACGGGUGAGGAAUGCAUCGGAAUCUACCUCGUUGUGGGGGAUAACCUCGGGAAACCGGGACUAAUACCGCAUACGACCUACGGGUGAAAGUGGGGGACCGCAAGGCCUCACGCGAUGAGAUGAGCCGAUGCCGGAUUAGCUAGUUGGCGGGGUAAAGGCCCACCAAGGCGACGAUCCGUAGCUGGUCUGAGAGGAUGAUCAGCCACACUGGAACUGAGACACGGUCCAGACUCCUACGGGAGGCAGCAGUGGGGAAUAUUGGACAAUGGGCGCAAGCCUGAUCCAGCCAUGCCGCGUGUGUGAAGAAGGCC